CACCUAAACCUCCUCCAGCACCUCCACCAAAUCUUCCACCACUACAACCUCUACGACCACCAAAUCGGCAAUCAUCAUCACCAAGAGUAACAGAACUCAAGUGGAAGACAAUGCAUAAGAGAAGAAGAAGUCCACAAGCCGAUUUAUGAGCAGUAAAACCCAUAUGCAUGGCUAGAUUAGCUAUAUGAUUGAAAAGCUUCUAAUCACCUUAGUUUGGU
rnacentral:lncRNA from 1 species